AAAGUCGUAACAAGGUCUCCGUAGGUGAACCUGCGGAGGGAUCAUUAACAUGCCCCUCAGACCGUGGGGGACAGAGGCAGGAGAGAAGCUUGGAGAGAGAGGGGAAAGUAGGGUCUGACCCCUUUCCAUUUCUCUUCAGUGGACUGAGCCGAUUCCCCCUACGAGCUCUGUACACACCCUUGAACCUCUCUGUAUCACAUCACUCCUCACAUCUGCCCUUGUUUCAAUCCCAUUAAGUGCCCCUUGAUGAAUGGAGAUACCACUCCUAGCAAUGGAUCUCUCGACUUCC
rnacentral:misc_RNA from 1 species